GGGAAUGUCGUAUAGUGGCUAAUACCUCAGCGCUUCCAAGCUGAAGACGCGGGUUCGAUUCCCGUCAUUCCCUCCA
rnacentral:tRNA from 1 species